rnacentral:rRNA from 1 species
AGUGAACGCUGGCGGUAGGCCUAACACAUGCAAGUCGAACGGCAGCACAGUAAGAGCUUGCUCUUACGGGUGGCGAGUGGCGGACGGGUGAGGAAUACAUCGGAAUCUACUUUUUCGUGGGGGAUAACGUAGGGAAACUUACGCUAAUACCGCAUACGACCUACGGGUGAAAGCAUGGGAUCUUCGGACCUUGCGCGAUUGAAUGAGCCGAUGUCGGAUUAGCUAGUUGGCGGGGUAAAGGCCCACCAAGGCGACGAUCCGUAGCUGGUCUGAGAGGAUGAUCAGCCACAAUGGAACUGAGACACGGUCCAGACUCCUACGGGAGGCAGCAGUGGGGAAUAUUGGACAAUGGGCGCAAGCCUGAUCCAGCCAUACCGCGUGGGUGAAGAAGGACUUCGGGUUGUAAAGCCCUUUUGUUGGGAAAGAAAAGCAGCAGGUUAAUACCCCGCUGUUCUGACGGUACCCAAAGAAUAAGCACCGGCUAACUUCGUG